UCUUCACCAUUUACACACCCUUUCGAUCAAACUAAGUAGAGAGAAAAGAUAGUGUGAAAGAGAAAGAGAAGAGAAGAGAAGAGAAAGAAGACGAAGGAGGGUGAAGGAGCAAGCCACUCAUCUAAGAUUUAGAGUUCCUCAAAGUGCAUUGAUGAUGGCAUGUUGCAUCCCAUGACACAGUUGCAUCCCAUGGCAUGUGAUGCAACAAAGUUGAAGCAAGCAGUAAUGACCCAAUCACUAGACAAACCACUUAUCCCGUCCCAACCCCCGCCCUCUUCGCCCGUAGGUAUUGGCAAGGAAGAACAUACCAGGUUUACAAUCAAGCCGCACAACCCUUCCGAUGGAUGUUUGGAGAGGACUAGGCACAAAACCUAGACGAUAAAUACGGUUUGGCACAUGACGUCCACACUGAACUUCAUCCAAAUUAUUUUUUUUAGUAUACAUUGAAGUUAUAUCAUCGAUGUUUCUAUUAUGUAUCAUAUUGUUAAGGCCUUUGGCCAAAUGUUCAAAAAAUGAGAUCUACAUAGAUUUUGGAUGCAUAAUGCAUAAGUGGCCAAACAUUGCAUCCACACCAUACAUCAUCCAAAUGAUUAUUUGAGUAUAUAUUGAACUUACAUCAUCAAUAUUUUUAUUAUACACCAAAUAGUUCAAGGCUUGGCCUAAUGUUCAAACAAAGUUUAAGGGCCAAUAUUUAGGGAUGACAAUUUACCCGCAGGUAACGGAUAUCCACGAAAACCCGACCCUAAUAGGAUGGGUUUGAGAGGCAUUUGAUAUCCACGGAUAGUUUCGUGGUUGCAAUUCACUAUUCAUGUAGUUCGUGGGUAUGGGUUUGGAUACUUACUAUCCAUACCCGCAAAAUCCGUUUGCCCGCGAAAAAUAUCCGUGAAAAUACCCGCCAAUUACCUGUGACAUUGUAACACCCAGCUUUUUCAUUACAGUAUAUAUAUUAUUAAUAUUAUUUUUUUUAUUUUCUAAUAUUUUAAAGAAGAAAAAGAAAUCUCAAUUUUAUGCAAAAAGCCCAAUAAAUAUUAUUUGGGCAAGUGAUUAUAUGAAUUUGUGGAGUUAAGCCCAAUACUUUAUUAUUUGGGCCAAAGGUUAUGUAGGUAUAUGGAAGAGGCCCAAGUAUUUCAUGGUUUUAAGGUCUGAUGGGAUUUUAUGUAAAAAGUCCAACAAUUAAUGAUAAAUGGGCUUUCUAAACUCAGAAUUUGAAGUGCGUACUAUUUAAUUAUGUUAUUAUAUGAAUGAUGUUAUAUUAAAGUUAUUGACUUGCCAAAACGUUCAUGAGCUUGUAUGUUACCAUCUACGAGAGAUAGACGAUAUCGGUCCUAUGCUAAAGCGAGAUGUCAGUAAGGGUUUGUGCACAUAGUUGUGACCGUGAGUCAUCGAGCGGGUUGGCCAGUCACUGUGAUCGGGAGCCUUCGGGCCGAUCACUGUGUUUGAGAAGGAGGCCUACUUCUCAACACAAAGUUACAUGAGAUAGACGAUAUCGGCCCUAUGCUGAAGCGAGAUGUCAAUAAGGGUUUGUGCACAUAGUUGUGACUGUGAGUCAUCGAGCGGGUUGGCCGGUCACUGUGAUCGGGAGCCUUCGGGCCGAUCACUGUGUUUGAGAAGGAGGCCUACUUCUCAACACAAGGUUACAUGAUGCGUAGUUAUGGUACAUACAUGUUAAUUGUCUGCAAACGUAUAUGAUGUUAUGAUAUAUAUAUAU